UAUUAAAGAUAUAAGUGAAGCACAGGAUUGGGCCUAGAGGAGCCACCAGCUUAAAGCUGUUGACCACACUCCCUUCAGCUGGGCAACAAGGCCUUCCUAAAAGGUUGGUGCGGCGGCACCUUUCCAAGUGAACCACAAUUGCCAGUCAACAGCACUGAGUUAGCAAGUAGUGAAAUGUUGCUCCUGGGGAAAUACAGGGCCUAGGUUCCUGUGAGCCUCUGAUCACAACAUUGUCACCAAUGGAUCAAUACGUGACCUGGUUUGAUGUUUCUACAGGAAUCAUUCAUUUGUUCCAGGAUCUCUGGACUAAGAAGAAAUUCUCUUCCACAUUCCACUCAGCAUAAGCUAUGCUUAUCCUUUACUUGCUAAUAAAACAGCAGCUUGUGUUUAAUGUGGAUUGAUUCAAAUAAGAGAAUUCAGCGACUUUCCAAACCCACCAACUUCUUCCUGUGUGGUUAAAUGUUCCCAUAUUUGGUGAAAAUGGAGAAAGGAAAUAACAAAGGAUUGGAUAUUAUCCUAAAAGCUAUUUGUUUACUUUAAAAGUCUUAAUAAAAAGAUUUCUCCAAUUUAUUUUUCAUAACUUCAUAGGAAGCAAGAACAAUUUCUGAGAGGAACUGGUUUUUAGACAAAAAUGUCAUUUAAUCUCUAAGUAUAUUGUAUAUUACUUUAAAGUGCUACCUGGCGUUUGUAAUCUAAGAUGUCCAGAAUAGAUAACAUUGCAAAGAUUCUCUGAUAAUCAUGAGGAUGCAGGUUUAUUUCCUUCAGUGGGGUGUCCGUUAAAAGAAUAUGAACUUUUUAACUGGCCUCCAGCCUCUGUGCCAUGUGAUCUACCUGCAUUUUUCCAUAAUUUGUGAGCACCAGCUGAGGUUUUUUAAUAGUUGAAGCUAAUAUUUGUUAAUUGAAAGUGGAGGUGAUUUAAACCAAACCAAAAAUAGCAUGUAUAUAUAUUUUUUAACAUUGAACCUAUGUUGGGACUUUUGUUCUGUUUUCUUCUUCUUUGUGCUUUUCUUGUUUUUGUAAAAAAAAGUCAGCUUUAUUAAGGUAUAAUUGACGAAUAAAAUUAUAAGGUAUUUAAGUGUACAUGUGAUGAUUUGAUACAUGUUAUGAGAGAAUUCUCCCCAUCUAGUUAAUUAACACAUCCAUCACCUCACAUAUUUAUCCUUUUUUUCUUUUAAGAGAACAUUUAAGUACUACACUCAGCAACAUUCAGUUAUACAAUAGAGUGUUGUCAACUAUAGUCACCAUGUUUGAAGUUAGAUCCUCAGACCUUGUUCAUCUCACACCUGAAACUUUGCACCCUUUUUAUCAAUAUCUCUCUAUUCCCCAACCCCCCAGCCUCUGGCAACCACUGUUUUACUCUGUCUAGGAGUUAGUUUUUGUGUGUGUGUGUGUUUUUAAGUUUCCAGGUAUAAGUGAUACUUUGGAGUAUUUGUCUUUCUCUUUCUGGCUUAUUUCACUUAGCAUAAUACCUUCAAGAUCCAUUCACAAAUGGCAUGAUUUCUUUCUUUCUGAGAGCUGGAUAAUAUGUUACACCUCUAUCCAUUCAUCUCUCUGGACAUUUAGGUUGCUUCCAUGUCUUGGCUAUUGUAAAUAGUGCUGCUAUGACAUUGGGGCUGUAGUUAUCUCAUUUGAUACCCUGUUUUCAUCCCC